rnacentral:rRNA from 1 species
UACGUAGGGGGCUAGCGUUGUCCGGAUUUAUUGGGCGUAAAGAGCGUGUAGGCGGCCAGGUAGGUCUGCUGUGAAAACUCGAGGCUCAACCUCGAGACGUCGGCGGAAACCAUCUGGCUAGAGUCCGGAAGAGGAGAGUGGAAUUCCUGGUGUAGCGGUGAAAUGCGUAGAGAUCAGGAAGAACACCGGUGGCGAAAGCGCUCUGCUAGGCCGCAACUGACACUGAGGGACGAAAGCUAGGGGAGCGAAUGGG